rnacentral:rRNA from 1 species
UGGGCUUGACAUCUGUCGGAUCCCAUGGAAACAUGGGAGUGCCCUUCGGGGAACGACAAGAC